rnacentral:lncRNA from 10 species
AUUUAUACUCCAGUUUCAGUUCCGUUGAUUCAAAGUUUUGGGACUUAGGACAAGUUUGCUAGCUUCUCUGAGCCUCAGUUUUUUAAACCGUUAAAUAGGAAUAACAGCAUGCUGAGUGCCAAGAAUUAAAGAAAAAUUUAUGUGAAAAUAUAGAUUAGAAAGAAAACUAAUAUAAAUGCAGGGGAUUAUGAUCAUAAUACUCAUAAAACUUCAGUACUCCCUGGGAAGAUCCAAUGGCCGUCAGUCAUGUGCACGUGAUCAGAAUCUGGGCCAUCAUAUUUUUUUAAGCAAGUUGAUGGCCUGAGGGUUCUUGGCCAGGUGGGAGGAGGCUGCUCUGGGAUGUUGAAGAGAGAUUUUAAAAAGGAGAUGGAAGGCUGUGAAAACAUAGUUCAAAUUGGAGGGAGCUUGGGCAGAUACCACCUUUUCUUUUAAGGAAUGAAUUUGACUUUUGCUGAUGGAGCCUCUCUGAAGGGCAAAUUCAAAGUACAGCUGGGUGCUGCAGCACUGGAGUGCGAACUUGUGGCUGUGGUUAUGAAGGAGCCUCGUCAGCUAUGCCUUUAGCCCCUGGUGAAGCAGUGCCAGUCACACUUUGCCAGUCAAACGGAGAGGCAGCAGUAGUAAGACCAGACCAAAUCAAACCAAACCAAGCAAACCACGGGGAAUGGAGAUUAUUGCCUGCUCCUCCAAGCCCUUCACUGUAGAAUGGAAGCCUGUGAUUUUCCUGGCAUCAUGCAUGACUGAGAAGGUCAGUGUGGCUAAUUCUGAGCUUCAACAUCAGGAAACCCGUAGUUCUUCACACUGAGCCGCCUCCUGCAGCACAGUCAUCCUUGGCUUAACACCACAUGGAAGCCACCAAGACUUAUGACUUGCAUCCUCCUGAAGAGUGGCUCAAACUGUACCUGAGGCCCUUUGAGCUGCAGCUGGAGCCAGGAGCUGGGACGCAGAGAGGAGUGUCCUGAGGCUGCAAGGGCAGCAGAGCCCUGGGUGUGGCCCCCAAAACCAUUCUUUCCCCUAGGCCUCUGGACCUGCAAUGGGAGGAAAUGCCUAAAAGAUCUCUGAAAU